AUAAACAGCCCGCCAGUGGACAGUUAAUGUUGAUGGUGCCGCUCUUCUCUUCUCUAACUAAAGAUCUGUCAGUCAAACCUUACAGUAAGUUGUCUUAUUCAAGAAACCCACAAAGUAACACAACUAGCACCUUAGACAGUCAUUUGCUUUGCUAGCUAAAACCACCUGAGGAAUGAAGAGGCAAUAUGGAUAUAGGUAAUUUUUUCAAAUCUAAACUUUCACAAGCGACAACACCUACUGAGCAAGAACCAAGGAUUGAAAAUGUGGACCAUGAAAAGCCAGAAAGCAACGCCAAAAUGGUGCUACGUAAACAAGUAACAUCGUAAACAUACAUGUUCCUCGCGAAUAUGGCGUAAAUUGAUGCUUAACUACACGGCGAAGACAUAAACAGGGAUAGAGCGGCGUGCAGUUGUUGUGUGCAGCUAACAUGGCAGAAUGUGUCUGAGAACUUUUCUACAUGUCAGUCCAUGAUCAAACGACCCUGCUCCCUGAGCCCUGCUCCUCCUCCUCCUUGUGUGUGUUGGUGUGUGUGUGUGUCUUGAUUGCAAGAUUCGACAGAUGGGUGAGACUGGGACCAAGUGCAGUCAGUCAUCAUUAACAACCUACUUAAGCCAGUCCCUGGCCUCACCUCAUCGCCAGAUCAACAACUCCACACCAAGAAUCCUGCAUUGCCUUCACAGCUCACCUGUUUAGACACCAACUGCUCGCCUGAGUAUUUGGACAAAGACUGCCUCCACAUACUGCAAUAAACAAUUGCCACCUUGCCUUCCUUCUCUGUGCUUGGAUCCCCUGCUCACCCAGGAACCUAACAAUAUGUGUUUGAACGAUUUGUUAGGAGCCUUGUUAAAAUAAAAAGUUAGAAUUUUAUACUGUAACAUUUAAGCUAGUGGACGUUUGCUAUGCAAGUCCGCUGCCAACAUUUUUGGACACAGCAAACAUACUGGUCUUUCCUUGUCUCCUACUGUAUCAAAAGGGAAACCAAACGCUACGUACGUGGUAUUUCCUCUUCUGAGCUUUCAAAGAGACUUCAUAUAUCCCGCUCUUUGCUGUGUGCUCUUGUUAGGUGCAAAAAUAUUGCGUGCACUGUGAAAAUGGAAGCACUACUGCCACCCACUGAGUGGAUGUGCAAUUACAUGUUAUUGUAGUAUGGCAAAAAAGUAUGUUCCCCAAUUGGUUUGGCCCCCCUGGGUAGGCGCGCCCCACUAUUUGAGAAGGACUGGCAUAAAAUAUUGCAGUUUUAUCCUUUGUUCCGUGAUGAUUGUCAGCUCAGAUGGACACUGCGCAAGCAAAUGCUAUAAGAAAUAGAUUGACGUAUGGAUGUGUUUGCCCAUUUUUGUGUGUGCACCAAAUUCUAACAUUUUUAUCAUAAGUGAAAUGUUGUCCAGCUGACAGAACCACUACAAAUUCUGCUUACCGUUUGCCUUUGUUUCCAAGAUUGUGGUUGCAGUGCCAAGCUAAGCUAACCGUUAUAAGGUCAUUUGACCACAGAAGUGCGACUGGCAUUGAUUUUGUACACUUGAGCACAUUUCUCCAAACAAAAAUAAUCUUUGAAUAUCUAAUGAUCCCCGGACGAACAACCGAGUUAUUCUCUGUGUUCCAGAAGUAACAACCAUUUUUUAAAAAAUCACUCACAUCGUGCUGCUGAUUAGUUAGGGAGACAUGAGGUCUGACCGCACAGUUCACAGAUCCUGGAGGUCCAUUGUAAUUUUUUCCCCGCUUAAUUGUAUAUGAUUUCUGACCUUAACGGUAAAUUGGCAAAAAGGAACUAAUAGCAAAUACAUAUUUUGCAGCAGCUAGGCCUUUUUUUCUGGCUUGAUUUUCUCAUUCAAUGUCAAACCUAUUUAUUUAUAUAUAUCAAGUGGAGGUAACAGUAGAGUAUAAUGGUAGAAUUUGCACCACUUACCAUAUUUUCUGGUCUGUGAGUCGCACUUUUUUCAUGGUUUGGCUGGGCCUGAGACUUGAACUCAGGUGCAACUUAUAUGUGUUUUUUUUUCACACUGACAGGCAAAAAAAGGGCGCCCUAGGGGUUCAAAGCAAAAUUUCCCUCAUCACCCCCUCUUCCUUAUUUAAACACAUGACAUAAAUUGACCAGUGCACUUUAUUUUUGCAUUUUCAAAAAAAUGUUAAAAGGGGACCAACAUGUACGUUGUUUUUAAAUAGCAAACAGUUAACCUGCUUAUUGCAUAUGGAACCCCAAAAGGGUCAGUGUUAGUUGCGAACUGGUUGGAUAGUAAUGAACGGCUUUUACC